UACGUAGGGUGCGAGCGUUAAUCGGAAUUACUGGGCGUAAAGCGUGCGCAGGCGGUUUUGUAAGCCAGAUGUGAAAUCCCCGGGCUUAACCUGGGAAUGGCAUUUGGGACUGCAAGGCUUGAGUGCGGCAGAGGAGACUGGAAUUCCUGGUGUAGCAGUGAAAUGCGUAGAUAUCUGGAGGAACACCGGUGGCGAAGGCGGCAUCCUGGACCGGCAUUGACGCUGAGUGAGCGAAAGCCAGGGGAGCAAACGGG
rnacentral:rRNA from 1 species